AGUGAACGCUGGCGGCGUGCCUAACACAUGCAAGUCGAACGAUGAUGGAGGAGCUUGCUCUUCCUGAUUAGUGGCGCACGGGUGAGUAACGCAUAGGUAAUGUGCCCCUUAGUCUGGGAUAGCCACUGGAAACGGUGAUUAAUACUAGAUACUCCUUCUCAUUAUAAGAUGAGUCGGGAAAGUUUUUCGCUAAGGGAUCAGCCUAUGUCCUAUCAGGUAGUUGGUGAGGUAACGGCUCACCAAGCCAAUGACGGGUAUCUGGUUUGAGAGGAUGGUCAGACACACUGGAACUGAGACACGGUCCAGACUCCUACGGGAGGCAGCAGUGAGGAAUAUUGCACAAUGGAGGAAACUCUGAUGCAGCAACGCCGCGUGGAGGAUGACGCAUUUCGGUGUGUAAACUCCUUUUAAGAGGGAAGAUUAUGACGGUACCUCUUGAAUAAGCACCGGCUAACUCCGUGCCAGCCGCCGCCGUAA
rnacentral:rRNA from 1 species